GGUCCCAUGGUGUAAUGGUGAGCACUCUGGACUCUGAAUCCAGUGGUCCGUCUUCAAAUUUCAGCUUGGGACCU
rnacentral:tRNA from 1 species